rnacentral:pre_miRNA from 1 species
GUGAGCAAGCAGGCGAAACAUGAAUGAAGCGUUGCUUUGCUCUUGAUUCAUCUGCGCGCUCAGGA